rfam:Glycine soja cultivar W05 scaffold1860_6, whole genome shotgun sequence.
CUUGGUUAUGUGUUCUUGCUGUAAUAUGGACAGAAAGCAACAGCAUGUGGGCUGUAGGUGUGCUUCGUUGAGUUUUAGAUUGCCCAUAAAGGACCCACACACAUUC